AUUCUGGGAGGAUUUAUGUUGUUCCAGUUGUGAGAGGGCCGGAUGCUGGAGUUGGACAAAUGGCGCGAAUUUGCAUUAGUCGGCACUUCAACGGCUACUGGACUAGCUAGAAAAUGGUUCCAAAACUUGACAGGGCGAGAAUGUUUGAAUAAUUUAAGAAGAACUUUUUCAUAAGAUGUAGAGCCAGACUUAAUGAUCUCUUGGAAUAUGCCCGAAGGAAAUCGGUAAAAAAUGGAUUUCUGAACCCUUAUGGCCACUGUAUAAGCGCUACUGGAAUAGCCCCGAAUACCAAUUGUUAAGGGAAAAGGGAAAGAUAGCUCGAGAAUUAUCCAAGGGUGGCUCCUUACAUACUGCAGGUGUUAGAAGUACUCUUGCUGUGAAGGAAAAAUUGAAAAAAGAAAAGGGUAGGGAACUACCAAAUGAUGAGAUUUUCGAGGAGACUCAUCUGAGAAAGAAAAAGAACCCGACUGAUGAAGAUAUGUGGGUUGAACCUCGUGCAAAAGCUG